CGGUGAUCGUUGCAGCCAUUGCGUACAACACCUGGUUCACCAAGCUGUACUGCAAAGACAUGCGCAUAGGGUCGGAGGUGGUGGACCAGGUCCUGCACACAGUCAGCAAGUCCAACAGUCUGGAGGAGCUCACUCUGGAGAAUGCAGGACUGAAAUCGGAUUUCCCGCAGAAGAUGGCGUCGGCGCUGUCGGAGAACCCAGCCUCUGUGAUUCAUUCCCUCAACCUG